AUAAUACCUAGAGAUCUGGACGUUACUCGCAGAAUUAGCGCCGGCUAACUCUGUGCCACAGCCGCGGUAAUACAGAGGGUGCAAGCGUUAAUCGGAUUUCUGGGCGUAAAGCGCGCGUAGGCGGCUAAUUAAGUCAAAUGUGAAAUCCCCGAGCUUAACUUGGGAAUUGCAUUCGAUACUGGUUAGCUAGAGUGUGGGAGAGGAUGGUAGAAUUCCAGGUGUAGCGGUGAAAUGCGUAGAGAUCUGGAGGAAUACCGAUGGCGAAGGCAGCCAUCUGGCCUAACACUGACGCUGAGGUGCGAAAGCAUGGGGAGCAAACAGGAUUAGAUACCCUGGUAGUCCAUGCCGUAAACGAUGUCUACUAGCCGUUGGGGCCUUCGAGGCUUUAGUGGCGCAGCUAACGCGAUAAGUAGACCGCCUGGGGAGUACGGUCGCAAGACUAAAACUCAAAUGAAUUGACGGGGGCCCGCACAAGCGGUGGAGCAUGUGGUUUAAUUCGAUGCAACGCGAAGAACCUUACCUGGCCUUGACAUAGUAAGAACUUUCCAGAGAUGGAUUGGUGCCUUCGGGAACUUACGUA
rnacentral:rRNA from 1 species